rnacentral:rRNA from 1 species
UAUCGGAACGUGCCCGGUUGUGGGGGAUAACGUAGAGAAAUUUACGCUAAUACCGCAUGAGAUCUACGGAUGAAAGCGGGGGACUUCGCAAGGAGCCUCGCGCAACUGGAGCGGCUGAUAUCAGAUUAGGUUGUUGGUGAGGUAAAAGCUCACCAAGCCGACGAUCUGUAGCUGGUUUGAGAGAACGACCAGCCACACUGGGACUGAGACACGGCCCAG